rnacentral:rRNA from 1 species
AUUCCCUACGGGGGGCAGCAGUAGGGAAUUUUCGUCAAUGGGCGCAAGCCUGAACGAGCAAUGCCGCGUGAACGAGGAAGGUCUUCGGAUCGUAAAGUUCUGUUGAAGGGGAAAAAGAGCGGAGAGUGGAAAUGGUCUCCGAUUGAUAUUACCCUUCGAGGAAGUCACGGCUAACUACGUGCCAGCAGCCGCGGUAAUACGUAGGGGGCGAGCGUUAUCCGGAAUGCUUGGGCGUAAAG